ACUCAAAUGAAUUGACGGGGGCCCGCACAAGCAGCGGAGCAUGUUGCUUAAUUCGAUGCAACGCGAAGAACCUUACCUGGGUUUGACAUGGUGGGAAAAGCCGUAGAGAUACGGUGUCCUUCGGGGCCCAUCACAGGUGGUGCAUGGCUGUCGUCAGCUCGUGUCGUGAGAUGUUGGGUUAAGUCCCGCAACGAGCGCAACCCUUGUCCUAUGUUGCCAGCGGGUAAUGCCGGGGACUCGUAGGAGACUGCCGGGGUCAACUCGGAGGAAGGUGGGGACGACGUCAAGUCAUCAUGCCCCUUAUGUCCAGGGCUGCAAACAUGCUACAAUGGCCGGUACAAAGGGCUGCUAGCCCGCGAGGGUGAGCGAAUCCCAUAAAGCCGGUCUCAGUUCGGAUUGGAGUCUGCAACUCGACUCCAUGAAGCCGGAGUUGCUAGUAAUCCCGGAUCAGCACUGCCGGGGUGAAUACGUUCCCGGGCCUUGUACACACCGCCCGU
rnacentral:rRNA from 1 species